ACUCCUGCGGGAGGCAGCAGUGAGGAAUAUUGGACAAUGGGUGGAAGCCUGAUCCAGCCAUCCCGCGUGCAGGAAGACGGCCCUAUGGGUUGUAAACUGCUUUUAUCUGGGGAUAAACCUACUUACGUGUAAGUAGCUGAAGGUACCAGAAGAAUAAGCACCGGCUAACUCCGUGCCAGCAGCCGCGGUAAUACGGAGGGUGCAAGCGUUAUCCGGAUUUAUUGGGUUUAAAGGGUCCGUAGGCGGACUGAUAAGUCAGUGGUGAAAUCCGACAGCUUAACUGUCGAACUGCCAUUGAUACUGUUAGUCUUGAGUAAGGUUGAAGUGGCUGGAAUAAGUAGUGUAGCGGUGAAAUGCAUAGAUAUUACUUAGAACACCAAUUGCGAAGGCAGGUCACUAAGUCUUAACUGACGCUGAUGGACGAAAGCGUGGGGAGCGAACAGGAUUAGAAACCCCGGUAGUCC
rnacentral:rRNA from 1 species